rnacentral:rRNA from 1 species
GACAGAGGGUGCAAACGUUGUUCGGAAUUACUGGGCGUAAAGCGCGCGUAGGCGGCUUUGUAAGUUAGAGGUGAAAGCCCGGAGCUCAACUCCGGAACUGCCUUUAAAACUGCAUCGCUUGAAUCCAGGAGAGGUGAGUGGAAUUCCGAGUGUAGAGGUGAAAUUCGUAGAUAUUCGGAAGAACACCAGUGGCGAAGGCGGCUCACUGGACUGGUAUUGACGCUGAGGUGCGAAAGCGUGGGGAGCAAACAGGG